UAGUAACGAUAACAAUAAUGAUAAUGAUAAUUGAAAAAUUUACAUCUUGUCUUUUUUUUGACAACACUUGUGGAAUGAAACGCCGAACGCGGAAAUCAAAGCAGAACACGUGAGUUUAACGUACUUCCUCCCGGAAAUUAAGUCCAGACACUACUACACAAUCACAGAGCAAUUAAAAGUAACCUUUCCAAUUUUGACACUUUGUUACGUUUAAUAUUUUAGUUUCGUUCUAAGUAUCUUCUGCGACUGUGUGGGUAAAAAAGCUCUUAUUUUUGGUCGACGUACGUGUAUCAUUAUGUAUUCUUAAAGCAACUGUAGUUAUUAAUUAUGUCUCUUAGAUAUAUUUUAUUUUAUUAUAAACCUCCCCGAUUUUUGAAAGGGUGUGUUGGCAAAAUAGUCACUUUUUCAAACUUAAUUAGGAAAGUAGUCACUUUACUAUUCAUAAUUUGCAAAACAAUCACUUUUCACUGUUUGAUUCGUACACUUGGAUUGUACAUCACUUUUAGUGUACAAAUGUAAAGUGUACACUGUGUAUUUUUAUAUAUAUUUGUACACUAAAAGUGAUGUACAAUCUAAAUUUACAAAUCAAACAGUGAAAAAUGACUAUUUUGCAAAUUAUGAAUAGUAAAGUGACUACUUUUCUAAUUAAGUUUGAAAAAGUGACUAAUUUACAAUUUAACCCUUCUUUAAAUCUCAACAAGAAUCUAUCACAAUACUACUUUUAAAUUAAAUCUCUUACGAGUUUCAUUUGAAGAUAAACGGAUGGGAAACCAACCAAAAAAAU
rnacentral:sRNA from 1 species